CAUUGCGAAGCUUAGAGCGU
rnacentral:tRNA from 1 species